AGUGUUGAGGACCACCAUCUAUGUGAUCUAAGAUUCCCAACCAAAGGGAAUUACAUGAACAUCUCUUUGAUUGAUUGUUGGGGUCACAACAUGACAACCUCUCAUGCAUUUAGAGGCAAGAUCAUGUCCAUAACAUCUGGCUCUGAUUUCAGCUGUGGCCUAUUUGCUGAGAACAGGAAUGCUUUUUGUUGGGGGUGAUGAAACUAUGAGUGGGGUUUUGAGCUUGAUUCCUAGACAUGCAAGGUUUCAGAUGAUUUCAGCUAGAGUUUCUUCUAUAACAACAUGUCUAAAAGUUCAAUGAUGUAUGUUCCAGAUGGAAUUGCCGGACUUGCUUCAUAUUCGAAUCAGCUGGACAUGGAACAUUUUGGAGAUGUUGGUUCCUUGGAUGAUAAUGUGGAAUCGUUCUUGUCACAUGAUGAUGGAGAUGCAAGGGACAUAUUUGGUACAUUAAAAAGAAGUCCAACAGAGCACAAUACAACGUCUUCAAAGGGUAAUUGAUUUUCUUUUAUGUCAUUUUUGGACAGACACUGCAAUUAUCUGAAGCUAUUAUAAAUUGGGGUGCAGCUUGGUUAGGUGGGGUCAUGUUUAGGGUCAAUCUGAGCCCAACCUGACCUCAAGAGGACCCAACCUGCAAUCUGACCCAGCCCUAAUUCCAACCUUAGGUGCCCAACCCAAACCGAAUCCGAACCAACCCAAACCGAAUCCGACCUAAAUCUAAAACCUAAAUGUAUUCUCAAAUCCUUAAACCAAACCUACACCUAAUCCUAAUCUCAACUCCCUAACCUAAACUUAAACCUAACUUGAAAACCCAAACCUAAACCCGAUCCUGAACCUGAACCCGAUUUCCUAAACCUAAACUUAUAACCUUAACUUAAACCUAUUCUCAAAUCCCAAAACCUAUAACCUAAACUUAAACCUAAUCCCAGAUGAAUUGGACUUCUAUCUUGAGAAAACGCCAUGAUUUCAGGUAGUUAUUAUUGUAAUGGAAAGUUAAAAAAAUUAAAAGAGAGAGAGAGAUAAUGAAUUCAUGGAAAGAAAUGUUAUUUAUCAUGAAGGCUGCUUUCGCCGGGUUUGAUGUAGAAAUCGUCGCUAACUUCACAGAAAGACAAAUAGCAUCAGUGGCCACAUAUUGCAACCUGGAUUUAAACAAUGUUCGAGGUGCCGUCAACAAUGUUAACAGAAUCUUCCAGGUCAGAUUGUUGAUUGGACCUGAUUUUAUUUAAAUGAUCUUGAUAAUCCAUUUUAUUUAAAUGAGCAGACUCGGAUGUGCGUCGGAGCUAUUCGGAUAUUGAGUGGGGGUCCUUGGAAGGUGGGAACCACUGUUAUGACCAUGAUGAAGCUGUUCAUUUCCUAUGGACAACAUUGGAGUGGCCUGACUAUUUGGACAGGUCGUGUUUAUAUCUGUAUUUGCUCGAAAUCGAUGGAGCAGACCCAGAUGUGCGUCGGAGCUAUCCGAAUGUUGAGUGGGGGUCCCUGGAAGGUGGGAACCGCUGUUAUGACCAUGAUGAAGUUGUUCAUUUCCUAUGGAUAGCAUUGGAGUGGCCUAACCAUUUGGACAGGCCGUGUUUAUAUCUG